rnacentral:lncRNA from 1 species
CUCUGGUGAGUACAGAAUAGUAGUAGUCUCUUGGUAACCGAGGAUGACGAUUGUCUUUGUGCAUUUUCAUCUAUGGUGUAUAGAUUAGUGUGCACAAAGACACUUGUGCGUGAAGGAGAUUUAAGUGGAAAAGUCGAUGCACAGAGACAGUCUCACUCUCUCGGCGUUGGAAGCCUGGAUCCAGUGGCACGAAAAGUCCUUACACCUGGAGACUUCCUCAGCUGCAUUGGAUGGCCAUAUUGUCUUUUGUGCUCCAUCAUGCCCUAAGCACUCCACAGUGCCUUGCUGCAUCGCCCUCUCAGCCCGUUGAAUCUUCUUGUUGGUUUCUUCCGUCUGUUCAGCCUAAGCAGUCUUCACAUGCUGGGUGAGCAAAGCCCUGGUUCACCAGGGGUCAACGACUGGAUGGCUACUCUCACAAGGUUUAGCCUGCCUGUUGAAGCCAUUGCCCAGGGUGUGGCCGCUGCUGCAUGCUACCAGUUACUAGGAGCCACAAGUGAGAGCUGGCUGUCAGAGGACAAAUAAAAGCAAGAGUCAGAAAGAAUUCUCAGACACCCACAAGCAAUGUCAGGAAGUUAGAGAAUGCUCCUCAAAAUUGAAGGUGCUACGAUCAGUUGUGCCUAUGAAAGAGGACAUCAAGUGCUGUCAGCAUCCUAUACAUUUUGGUACCCAAGUUGGCCUGCCCUAGUUAUGGUUCUGAUUCUCAGGUCAGUGAUUGUUUCCAACGCCCUGUGUCAGUUUUUGUCCUCAUGGAAUGACCCAGUUGGCAGCCUGUGUAGUGUAGGAGACAAACAAAACAAAAUAAAAACCUUUUGAGGAUGU